CCUUUCGGUUCUGCUCCUGAAUUUCUUCAAAAAUUCUGCUGCAUCAAGACUCUCAUGCUAGUCAGUUCCUGCCUGGGGUCACCAGACUGCUUUGAAGUCAGGAAGAACAUGGUGGGGACGGUGACUUGAGUUUCCUGGACCACAGUGCAGCUUUUCCCUUCUUCCCUCUGUCCUUGCUCAGCACGGUCACAACGACCCUCCAAAUCAUGAUGCUCAAAACGCCACAUCUAAAAAGAACAUCCGGUUGGCACCCCCUCUACAGAACAGGAGACGCACAGUUCCAACAGUUAUUGUAUACAUCACUGACCAUAUUAAUGACUCCACAAAAUCAAUCAUGGGUCCAC